UACAGAGGUGGCAAGCGUUGUUCGGAUUUAUUAGGCGUAAAGGGUCCGUAGGCGGUUUGGAAAGUCAGAUGUGAAAUCCCACAGCUCAACUGUGGAACUGCAUUUGAAACUUCCAGACUAGAGUAUGAGAGGGGUUAAGGGAAUUCCCGGUGUAAGGGUGAAAUCUGCAGAGAUCGGGAGGAACACCAGUCGCGAAGGCGCUUAACUGGCUCAUUACUGACGCUCAGGGACGAAAGCUAGGGUAGCAAGCGGG
rnacentral:rRNA from 1 species